rnacentral:siRNA from 1 species
UUGCCCUUAAUGAUUUUAAAU